rnacentral:rRNA from 1 species
AUUGAACGCUGGCGGCGUGCCUAACACAUGCAAGUCGAGCGGUAACGCGGGAGCAAUCCUGGCGACGAGCGGCGAACGGGUGAGUAAUGCUUCGGAAUCUGCCCAGUAGUGGGGAAUAACCAGCCGAAAGGUUGGCUAAUACCGCAUACGACCUACGGGUGAAAGCAGGGGAUCGCAAGACCUUGCGCUAUUGGAUGAGCCGAAGUCGGAUUAGCUAGUUGGUAGGGUAACGGCCUACCAAGGCGACAAUCCGUAGCUGGUCUGAGAGGACGACCAGCCACACUGGGACUGAGACACGGCCCAGACUCCUACGGGAGGCAGCAGUGGGGAAUAUUGGACAAUGGGGGAAACCCUGAUCCAGCGACGCCGCGUGUGUGAAGAAGGCCUGCGGGUUGUAAAGCACUUUUAGUGGGGAUGAAAAGCUCAGGGCUAAUACCUCUGGGUCUUGACCUAACCCACAGAAAAAGCACCGGCUAACUCUGUGCCAGCAGCCGCGGUAAUACAGAGGGUGCGAGCGUUAAUCGGAAUUACUGGGCGUAAAGCGUGCGUAGACGGUUACGUAAGUCGGGUGUGAAAGCCCCGGGCUCAACCUGGGAAUUGCAUUCGAGACUGAAUAGCUAGGGUGCGGUAGAGGGAAGCGGAAUUUCCGGU